AUUGAACGCUGGCGGCAUGCCUUACACAUGCAAGUCGAACGGUAACAGGUCUUCGGAUGCUGACGAGUGGCGAACGGGUGAGUAAUAUAUCGGAACGUGCCCAGUCGUGGGGGAUAACGCAGCGAAAGCUGUGCUAAUACCGCAUACGAUCUAUGGAUGAAAGCGGGGGAUCGCAAGACCUCGCGCGAUUGGAGCGGCCGAUAUCAGAUUAGCUGGUUGGUGGGGUAAAGGCCCACCAAGGCGACGAUCUGUAGCUGGUCUGAGAGGACGACCAGCAACACUGGAACUGAGACACGGUCCAGACUCCUACGGGGAGCAGCAGUGGGGAAUUUUGGACAAUGGGCGCAAGCCUGAUCCAGCAAUGCCGCGUGCAGGAUGAAGGCCUUCGGGUUGUAAACUGCUUUUGUACGGAACGAAACGGUCCUUUCUAAUACAGAGGGCUAAUGACGGUACCGUAAGAAUAAGCACCGGCUAACUACGUGCCAGCCGCCGCCGUAA
rnacentral:rRNA from 1 species